CGCUAUCACUCCUACGGGAGGCAGCAGUGGGGAAUAUUGCACAAUGGGGGAAACCCUGAUGCAGCCAUGCCGCGUGUGUGAAGAAGGCCUUCGGGUUGUAAAGCACUUUCAGUAGGGAGGAAGGUAGUGUAGUUAACACCUGCAUUAUUUGACGUUACCUACAGAAGAAGCACCGGCUAACUCCGUGCCAGCAGCCGCGGUAAUACGGAGGGUGCGAGCGUUAAUCGGAAUUACUGGGCGUAAAGCGCAUGCAGGCGGCCUGUUAAGUCAGAUGUGAAAGCCCGGGGCUUAACCUCGGAAUUGCAUUUGAAACUGGCGGGCUAGAGUCUUGUAGAGGGGGUAGAAUUUCAGGUGUAGCGGUGAAAAUGCGUAGAGAUCUGAAGGAAUACCAGUGGCGAAGGCGGCCCCCUGGACAAAGACUGACGCUCAGAUGCGAAAGCGUGGGGAGCAAACAGGAUUAGAUACCCUGGUAG
rnacentral:rRNA from 1 species